UAAGGUUAAGUUAAUAAGGGCGCACGGUGGAUGCCUUGGCACUAGGAGCCGAAGAAGGACGUGACAAACGACGAUAUGCCUUGGGUAGCUGUAAGUAAGCGAUGAUCCAGGGAUUUCCGAAUGGGGGAACCCAACAGGUACUACCUGUUACCCACAUCUGUUAAGGAUGUGAGGAGGAAGACGCAGUGAACUGAAACAUCUAAGUAGCUGCAGGAAGAGAAAGCAAAAGCGAUUGCCUUAGUAGCGGCGAGCGAAACGGCAGGAGGGCAAACCGAAGAGUUUACUCUUCGGGGUUGUAGGACUGCAAAGUGGACUCAAAGAUUAUAGAAGAAUGAUUUGGGAAGAUCAGCCAAAGAGAGUAAGAGCCUCGUAUUUAAAAUAGUCUUUGUACCUAGCAGUAUCCUGAGUACGGCGGGACACGAGAAAUCCCGUCGGAAUCUGGGAGGACCAUCUCCCAACCCUAAAUACUCCCUAGUGACCGAUAGUGAACCAGUACCGUGAGGGAAAGGUGAAAAGCACCCCGGGAGGGGAGUGAAAUAGAACCUGAAACCGUGUGCCUACAACAAGUUCGAGCCCGUUAAUGGGUGAGAGCGUGCCUUUUGUAGAAUGAACCGGCGAGUUACGAUAUGAUGCGAGGUUAAGUUGAAGAGACGGAGCCGUAGGGAAACCGAGUCUGAAUAGGGCGCAUUAGUAUCAUGUCGUAGACCCGAAACCAUGUGACCUACCCAUGAGCAGGUUGAAGGUGCGGUAAGACGCACUGGAGGACCGAACCAGGGCACGUUGAAAAGUGCUUGGAUGACUUGUGGGUAGCGGAGAAAUUCCAAACGAACUUGGAGAUAGCUGGUUCUCUCCGAAAUAGCUUUAGGGCUAGCGUCGACAUUAGAGAUUCUUGGAGGUAGAGCACUGUUUGGGUGAGGGGUCCAUCCCGGAUUACCAAUCUCAGAUAAACUCCGAAUGCCAAAGAAUUAUGGUCGGCAGUCAGACUGCGAGUGCUAAGAUCCGUAGUCGAAAGGGAAACAGCCCAGACCACCAGCUAAGGUCCCAAAAUAAUUGUUAAGUGGAAAAGGAUGUGGGGUUGCACAGACAACUAGGAUGUUAGCUUAGAAGCAGCUAUUCAUUCAAAGAGUGCGUAAUAGCUCACUAGUCGAGUGACCCUGCGCCGAAAAUGUACCGGGGCUAAAACAAUUUACCGAAGCUGUGGAUACCUUUAUAGGUAUGGUAGGAGAGCGUUCUAUGUGUGGAGAAGGUGUACCGUGAGGAGCGCUGGAACGCAUAGAAGUGAGAAUGCCGGUAUGAGUAGCGAAAGACAGGUGAGAAUCCUGUCCACCGUAAGACUAAGGUUUCCAGGGGAAGGCUCGUCCGCCCUGGGUUAGUCGGGACCUAAGGAGAGACCGAAAGGUGUAUCCGAUGGACAACAGGUUGAUAUUCCUGUACUAGAGUAUGUAGUGAUGGAGGGACGCAGUAGGCUAACUAAAGCAGACGAAUGGA
rnacentral:rRNA from 1 species